UGGGGAAUAUUGCACAAUGGGCGCAAGCCUGAUGCAGCCAUGCCGCGUGUAUGAAGAAGGCCUUCGGGUUGUAAAGUACUUUCAGCGGGGAGGAAGGUGUUGUGGUUAAUAACCUCAGCAAUUGACGUUACCCGCAGAAGAAGCACCGGCUAACUCCGUGCCAGCAGCCGCGGUAAUACGGAGGGUGCAAGCGUUAAUCGGAAUUACUGGGCGUAAAGCGCACGCAGGCGGUCUGUCAAGUCGGAUGUGAAACCCCCGGGCUCAACCUGGGAACUGCAUCCGAAACUGGCAGGCUUGAGUCUUGUAGAGGGGGGUAGAAUUCCAGGUGUAGCGGUGAAAUGCGUAGAGAUCUGGAGGAAUGCCGGUGGCGAAGGCGGCCCCCUGGACAAAGACUGACGCUCAGGUGCGAAAGCGUGGGGAGCAAACA
rnacentral:rRNA from 1 species